AGGAACUUAGGAUAAUUUAGACCAAGGGCCUUCAAAGCCCUAAGCAGGAGUUAAAAUCUCCUAGUUCCUGU
rnacentral:tRNA from 1 species